ACAUGCAUACAACAUAGCGUUAAUGCAUCGGAUUCCAUUAGAGCUUCGUAGUUAAGCACACUUGGGCUAGAGUAGUAUUGGGAUGGGUGACCGCCUUGGAAGUCUUAAUGUUUUACAUGCC
rnacentral:rRNA from 1 species